rnacentral:rRNA from 1 species
UACGUAGGGGGGCUAGCGUUGUCCGGAAUCAUUGGGCGUAAAGCGCGUGUAGGCGGUCCGGUAAGUCCGCUGUGAAAGUCGGGGGGCUCAACCCUCGGAUGCCGGUGGAUACUGUCGGGCUUGAGUACGGAAGAGGCGAGUGGAAUCCUGGUGUAGCGGUGAAAUGCGCAGAUAUCAGGAGGAACACCAAUUGCGAAGGCAGCUCGCUGGGACGUUACUGACGCUGAGACGCGAAAGCGUGGGGAGCAAACAGG